UUGCCCUGCUCAAUGGGGUAAGGAUCCAGCAUUGCCAUGAGCUGUAUUGUAGGUUGCAGACAUUGUUUGGAUCUGGUAUUGCUGUGGCUGUGGCGUAGGCUGGCAGCUGCAGCUGCAUUUCAAUCUCUAGCCUGGGAACCUCCAUAUACCACACUUGUGGCCCCUUCACCCCCCAAAAAAACACUAUGUCAACUAGGAUUCUACUGGUUAUAAAUGACAGAAAGCCCAGCAGAGAUGGCUUAUGUGCAUUGCACCAUCUGGAGCUAGAACUGGCUUCAGGGCUAUGCAGGGUCAUUUCCCAUUCCUCCUCCAGAGCCACUUGCUACCUUUCCUCUCCCUGACCUCUGUCCCUGGAGCCUGUGUUCUGAGCUGCAUCAGCAGGGCUCCCAUAACCUCUAGCCACUGCCUGUGUACCCAGUGGGAAAAGCCAGCAGAAAUGUGAAGGGAGAGAGCAAAGGGGGAUCAAAGUAUUUAUUCCUCCACCUCCCUCCCUGCAAAGUCACUCUGGGUGACCUCAAUUUGAGGUCAUGGUUUUUCAAGGUGAUUUUUCAAGUCUCUACAUGACCCUCUUCUUGCUGGUUCUGGUAGCCACUCCCUCCCACACCCUUUCGGACCCACAAGUGAUAACAGUUCACUGUCACUGGCCUAGGGUCCCUGCAGUAUGUUUGCACUUGGUGGUUGGACACCUACACCUUGGCCCACAGUGAGUGGUCCCUUUGCUCAUAUUGUCUGGUUCAAGUCAAUCAUUUAUUUCCUGUCAGAGCCUGAUUCUCAUGAGAUCUCUAAUGUGUCUUUCCUGUUGGGACUUUGCCUCUCCAUCUCUUGAAUCCAUCUUUUGCUGAACUGACUUCAAUCUUAAGUUAUAGGCUCUGCAGUAACAGCUGUAGCCCCUGGCUUCUCUUGGUUUCAGGACCCUAGGAAAAACAGAGUCUCAUUCCAGAAAGGAUUAUCCAAAUUCCCAUUUCCUCUCAGUGGCUAUAAUGGAGAGCCAUGUGCCCCUCUCUGAGCCCAUGACAGUGACCAGGGGAAAUCCCUGUGCUGUCUCAAGUCCUGUGCUCCAUCCUGGGCAAACGGUGUGGAAGAGAGCAGUUCUGCAGGGGAAAGUCAACGGGCCUUUACUGUCAUACGGCGACUUAUAAGAAAUAUGUAUUUGGCCUUUGUCUUUGUUUCUGGCACAGAAUUCCUAAAACCAUUAUAAAUCCCUGAGCAAGGGGAAUGAUUAGGUUAAAUGAGGUGACUUUUGGACUGAACCUAGGCUGGGGAAUGGCUGCCAAAAUAACCAACCUUGUGAUUAGAGGGUCAGAACUUUCAGUCUCAACCCCCUGACCUCCUGGGAGUAGAGAGGGGCUGGAGGUUGAAUUAAUAGUCAAUGGCCAAUGAUUUAAUUUAUCAUGCCUAUUUAGUGAAGCCUCUAUAGAAACCUUAUAGGACUGGGGUCAGAGAGCUUCCAAGUUGGUGACCACGUGGAGAUUUGGUGAGAGUGGUGCUCAGGGAGAAUGUGACAAGCUCUGUCCCCUUUCUACACACCGUGUCCUGUGCCUUUCUUCCGUUUUGCUGUUCCUGCGUUACCUCCUUUUGUAAUAAACCGGUAAUCUAGUAAGUACCGUGUUUCUCCGAUUCCUGUGAAUGGCUCUCGCAAAUUAAUGAAACCCAAAGAGGGGGGCAUUGGAACCUCCUCUCUAUAGCCAAUUGGCCAGACACAUAGGUGACAACCUGGACUUGUGACUGGCCUUUGAGAGGGAGAAGCAGAGGAGGGAGGGCAGGAUCCCCUCCGACUCAGCCCUCUACCUAUGGAAGCUGAUGCUGUUUCUGGGUAGGCAGUAUCAGAAUCGAGUUGACUCCUAGGACACAUGGCUAGUGUUGGACAAUUGCUUGGUGGUGUGGGAGGAAAAAUCUAUAUGUUGUACUUGAGUGCAGAAUAUUAGUUACCAGAAAGAGGGUAACUGGAAGUUGCUUGGGAAAAAGUCACAGUUGCAUGGCAGUCAUCUUCCUAAGAUCUCACAGCAGAUAGGGACUCAUGUGUUUGCCCAACUCUAAGCCUCAGUUCUUCCCAGUACUCUGUCCUCAGCCUCUUUCCCCAGGCGGACUUUCUGCUGGGACGCCAGGUCUCGCUCUCUCAGGACAGAGAGUCCUGUAAUUGUUAGAGCAGAAGCCAUCCUGAGAGCCAUGUCAGGCAGAAGGGCAGCCCAUGCUGGGGUAGGGAAGGAGGAUGGCAUGAAGGAGCCACACCCUCCAGGUCAACAGAGCUGGAUCUGCCCUGUCACUUUCCACUUCCCCAGACGUGGCCGAGCCCAACCAGAUAUCUGCCACAGAAGACAGGUGGACUGGACAAGUCAGAUUUAAGGACCAGCCCAGGAAGGAACCAAUGUGGCAGGAGUGUGGGGAGGAAGUUGAGUGAGGCAGGCAGGCAGAGUGUGAUUGCAGGAAGCCAGGGUGACAGCGUUCAGAGCCAAUGUGGGAAUAAGCAUGGGUGAGCCUACCUCCAAAGUCCAGGAAAGCUGGCCGGGCAUGAGUCAGCCUCCAAGAGAACAAUUGCCUGGAAAGCUAUGCUUUGAAACAAAUCCCAGAAGAGUUAUAAUAUUGACUGUACUGGCGCUAGUCAGGAUUGGUUAGAAGUCUUUCAGAAAGUACUAAGCCCCCGAAUGAGUGACUACAUAAACGAAUCAAUGAACGGGAUAAAUGAUCUCUAAGAUCUCACCCAUCCCUAAAAUGCCACAAAAUCCUUCAGAGGGUAAAGCACAUUUGGGCCAUUUGAGGGAACAGGGCACAGGAAGAAGUGCCUGACGAGCUGAAAGGCUUCUGAGAAAAGAUGAUUCUGUAGCUUUCAGAAUACCACUGCUGGUGCCAUCUUUCUUUGGCCCUUAAAUGUAGGACUCUUCUGUUUUGGUUGUUGUUAGAGCCAAAGCCCAUUGCCUUUAGGCCAGACUUACAGACCCAACAGACAUUCAGAGUAUGUGUGAUUUCAAGAAAGAAAAUAGCUCCUCAGUUCUCCUUAAUUGUAUACCUCUUUUUAAUUAUAAGAGAAUUAUAUAAUCAUUAUAAAAAUUAGAAUAUUCCAGCAAAUAUUAUCUCACUCAAGAGUCAACCACUGAGGAGUUCCUUGGUGGCUCAGUGGGUUAAGGAUCCAGUGUGUCAGUACUGUGGCUCUGGUCACUUCUGUGGUUCAAGUUCAAUCCCUGGCCCAGGAUCUUCCUCAUGCCAUGGACAAAACCAAAAAAAAAAAGCAAAGCAAAAGAGUCAACCCAGAUACAUUCUUCCCAGAAUAUUUCUUAAGCAUAUUUUAUUACACAUUAUUACUGAUAAUUUUUUCCGAAAUUUGUUCUUCUUGAUUUUGCUUAACAUUAUGUCACAAGCAUUUACCCAUGCCAAGAAAAUACCUUCAGAAGGUAGUAUUAAGUUACUACAGAAUGUUCCCUCCUAUAUAGAUGAGUCAUAAUCUACAUAACCAAUCCCAGAUCAGACAUUCAGAUUAUAUCCAAGGUUCAUUAUAAUAAUAAGCAUCCCUGAUAUAAGCUUGUAUGCACAUAAAGCUCUAUUUGCAUUUCAGAUCAGGUCUUGAGGCCAGAUUUGAGGAAGAGGAAUUACUGGUCAAAUGUCAUGAACAGUUUUCAAGCUCUUGCUAUUCAAGGCUAGUUUAUAUUCCAAGUGACAUUGCCCCAGUGUGGGCUUCACCGGCGGAACAUGGGACAUUGAUCUUUAUGGGCUGGUCACUGUCUUUAUUUUCUCUCUCUCUCCCUUAACUUUGCCAGUUAACCCUGUUAUCCCUUUGUCUUCAUCUAAACCUAUCUUCCAGAUCAGAGAGACCUGGGGAAGGAAUGGAAAGAGAACUGGGUUUAUUGCAUUGAGCCCCUCUCUUGCUACCCAGCAGGGAAAUCAAUGCUACCUCAGGCCCUGGAGUUUUAAUUAACCUCCAUAAGCAGGAAUCUGAUCCCUGAAGUUAGUCAUUGCUCCAAGCUCCAUACCAGACCCCUAGGAGAAAAAGAGAGAGAGAGACUGUACAAGUGGUUUACAAUGGCUGGACUUGACCAUGCGUAUAAGAAAUGGCCAUAUAAGGUGUGGUCUUAACCUUCUGGACAGGGAGGUCACAUGACUUCCUUUAGCGCAUGAGCAAGGGGUGAAAGAGCCCGUUAGACUUAGAGAAACAUACUCAGUUGGCCUUCCAAGAGCUCGCAUCUGGAGCAGAUAUCCUCUGUGAUAUGUGACAGUUCAGGUCCAGGCACAAGCCUGCAUAGCCAAUGACCCAGAGAGGCCAGCUUGUAUGCAGCUCAGACAAACAUCCUGAUCAAAUGGACUCCAGUGUGGAAAUUACAACCAGGAGAAGUAGAGCUUAGAAGGAAGGCAGCAGUCUGCUGGAAUGGGAUAGAACUCUUAGAUUGCUUUGGAGGAGCUCCCAUCACGGCUCAGUGGUAAUGAACCUGACUAGUAUCCAUGAGGAUGCAGGUUCAAUUCCUAGCCUCGCAUAGCGGGUUAAGGAUCUGGGUAGGUCACAGAUGAGGCUCAGAUCCCA
rnacentral:lncRNA from 1 species